rnacentral:rRNA from 1 species
CAAUAGCGUAUAUUAAUGUUGUUGCAGUUAAAAAGCUCGUAGUUGGAUUUCUGCUGGAAGCGUCCGGUCCGCCCCUCACGGGGUGUGUACUAGCGUCGUCUUUUGGCAUCCUUGCGAAGAUCCGUCCUGGCAUUAAGUUGUUGGGGUUGGGGACUCGCAUCGUUUACUGUGAAAAAAUUAGAGUGUUUAAAGCAGGCAAUUGCUGUGAAUACAUUAGCAUGGAAUAAUAAGAUAGGACUUUGGUGCUAUUUUGUUGGUUUGUACACCGGGGUAAUGAUUAACAGGGACAGUUGGGGGUAUUCGUAUUUCGUUGUCAGAGGUGAAAUUCUUGGAUUUAUGAAAGACGAACUACUGCGAAAGCAUUUACCAAGGAUGUUUUCAUUAAUCAAGAACGAAAGUUAGGGGAUCGAAGACGAUUAGAUACCGU